rnacentral:lncRNA from 1 species
UGCUUUGGAGCUUCGCUGUGGCUUCAAUGAUGUUGUGUUGAAGUUAUCAUGUUGCCGCUGCCGUGCUGAUCCAAGGGCUGAAUAGACGGAUGAUUUCUUAACUGAUUCGUAGCAGCCCAUAUUAUGUUUGUAGACACAAACUUUUGAUAUCCUUUAAAAAAUAAGGUGACACUAAAUUAUAAAGCUAUCAAAGGUAAUUACAGAAUUGUUCCAACUUUUACCAACCGCACGGUGAAAAGAAAAGGAAAAAGAACACAUACACAAGUGAUAUAUUGUACAGUACAUCUGAAGAUUCUAACGUAACCCAGUUGAUCACUGGAAGGGAAGAAGGAAAUUUGCCGACAUAGUAAUCUUCUGUGAAACAGCCAGCUCGUACAGAAAGCAGAUAGCAGAGCACGAGCCGAGAGUGAGGGGAGACACGGAAAAGAAGGCCACCGAGAUGGCCCAUUAACGUAACCCAGUUCGACAGAUCACGCCCAAGGAAGACAUGAGCCCC